rnacentral:rRNA from 1 species
AUGGCGAUGGGCAGCAUGAGGUUGAUGUUGAGGGCCUUGACCUUGAUGGUGGUGCAAAGGCAGAGAGCAGCGUCGAGGUCGGCAACGCCGGACAGCAGCGGGCAGCAUGUAUUCCUGGCGCUACUGCCGAUCACCGCGUGCAACAGCCCAUUGAGCACGUCCACGCACGCAAGUAGCUUCAGUGUGUCCACGGGGCACUUGCCGGUCGAUGUAGCCGGCGCUGGGGCCGGGGCUGGGGGUGGCGUCGGAGUCACAGGGGUGGGUGCUGGCGGCAUCACGAGGGUCGGUGUUGGGGCCACCGGGAUUGGCGUUCGAGAGACAGGGGUUGGUGCUGGCAUCAGAGUCACAAGGGUUGGUGAUGGCGGUAUCAUAGGAGUCGGUGUUGGGGCCACCGGAGUUGGCGUUGGAGAAACGGGGGUCGGUGCUGGCAUCGGAGUCACCGAUGUUGGUGUUGGCGGCAUCACAGGGGCCGGUGUUGGGGUCACCAGGGUUGGCGACGGAGAGACAGGGGUGGGUGCUGGCGUCGGAACCACACGGGUCGGUGUUGGCGCCACCGGACUUGGCGUUGGAGAGAUAGGGGUCGAUGCCGGCGUCGUUGUUGGCGGCAUCACAGGGAUAGGUCUUGGGGCCACCGGGUUUGGCGUUGGAGAUACAGGGGUCGGUGCCGGCGUUGGUGCCAUAGGCAUCUGUCUCGGCGGCAUCACGGUUGUAGGUGUUGGGGCCACCGGUGUUGGUGUUGGAGAGAGAGGAGCUGGUACCGGCGUUGGAGUUAUAGGGGUUGGUAUUGGAGGCAUCAUAGGGGUCGGUGCCGAUGUUGGAGUUACAGAGGCCGGUAUGGGCGUGGGUGCCGGAGUGUUUGUAGGUGGAGGGAUGAAGACAGUCGGGGUCGGUGCCGGCGUCGGAGUCACCGGGGUGAGUGUGGGUGUGGUUGAGGGCAUGGGAGUUUGUGAAGGUGGAGGGCAGGGUAUGGACGAUGGUGAGGACUUGUGCUUACACGGUGCAGGCUUGGAAGGCUUUGUGGGCGGGCAUGAUCGGCAUGGCGCGGACUGCGCGAGAUGCCCGGCUAAGGAGAGCAGGGCCACCAGCAAGAACGCCGCAAUGCGGGCCAUGGUCUUGGAGCUUAAGGUCAAAUCAACUUAUGGAACAGAAGGGCAGCGGAAGUCUUUCGGCACUCUCUUGCCGCACUGGUUGACGAGCACCUCGAUGGCGAUGGGCAGCAUGAGGUUGAUGUUGAGGGCCUUGACGUUGAUGGUGGUGCAAAGGCAGAGAGCAGCGUCGAGGUCGGCAACGCCGGACAGCAGCGGGCAGCAUGUAUUCCUGGCGCUACUGCCGAUCACCGCGUGCAACAGCCCAUUGAGCACGUCCACGCACGCAAGUAGCUUCAGUGUGUCCACGGGGCACUUGCCGGUCGAUGUAGCCGGCGCUGGGGCCGGGGCUGGGGGUGGCGUCGGAGUCACAGGGGUGGGUGCUGGCGGCAUCACGAGGGUCGGUGUUGGGCCCACCGGGAUUGGCGUUCGAGAGACAGGGGUUGGUGCUGGCAUCGGAGUCACAAGGGUUGGUGAUGGCGGUAUCAUAGGAGUCGGUGUUGGGGCCACCNNNNNNNNNNCACGGGUCGGUGUUGGCGCCACCGGACUUGGCGUUGGAGAGAUAGGGGUCGAUGCCGGCGUCGGUGUUGGCGGCAUCACAGGGAUAGGUCUUGGGGCCACCGGGUUUGGCGUUGGAGAUACAGGGGUCGGUGCCGGCAUUGGUGCCAUAGGCAUCUGUGUCGGCGGCAUCACGGUUGUAGGUGUUGGGGCCACCGGUGUUGGUGUUGGAGAGAGAGGAGCUGGUACCGGCGUUGGAGUUAUAGGGGUUGGUAUUGGAGGCAUCAUAGGGGUCGGUGCCGAUGUUGGAGUUACAGAGGCCGGUAUGGGCGUGGGUGCCGGAGUGUUUGUAGGUGGAGGGAUGAAGACAGUCGGGGUCGGUGCCGGCGUCGGAGUCACCGGGGUGAGUGUGGGUGUGGUUGAGGGCAUGGGAGUUUGUGAAGGUGGAGGGCAGGGUAUGGACGAUGGUGAGGACUUGUGCUUACACGGUGCAGGCUGGGAAGGCUUUGUGGGCGGGCAUGAUCGGCAUGGCGCGGACUGCGCGAGAUGCCCGGCUAAGGAGAGCAGGGCCACCAGCAAGAACGCCGCAAUGCGGGCCAUGGUCUUGGAGCUUAAGGUCUCGGUGUUGGUAUAG